UUGAAAAAGUAGCUCCAAAGAAGUUAACUGACUUGUUCAACAACAUGCAGCAAGCAGGGGUGGAGCUGGGGCAGGGGCCCUGGUCCAGGGGUCCUCUCCACUGCAUCACAGUGGCCAGAUUCUCUGUGGCAGACAAGCAACUGUUGCUAAGUGGGACCAUGAUUCAAGAUCUUUCCUGAACUUUCUGUCAUAUGUGGCUCAGUUUUUAGGCCUUAGGUCCUGGCACUGUUGCCUGGCAAGUUCUGAGUCCUGCAUCCUAUCUUUCAUCCUCAAAGGGCCAACCAGGAAACCAGGCUCUGCAUCUUGCCUCCCUAGGGAACAGACACCUGAGAGCACUGAAAUUCAAGGUAAUCUUUAGGAAGCAUUACUUUCUCUGUGACCUCUUUCCUAAUUCUUUCCCAAAAGGUGUGUUUUCCUCUUCUGCUCACACCUACAGCUUUUUAUUUGUAUGUACUAUGAACACUUUUUAUGUAAUGCUUUGACUUGAAAACAUAUAAAUUAUAUACUAAUCUUAGCAUCACAUGUACAUUCCCUGAUGGAAGGAGCUGUUUCAAUCUCAUCAUAUAUGCAUGUGUUUUACUAUCUACUCCCCCCAUACUAGCCAAACAAAUAUUAUAUCCACUCUAUGAAUAUGGAAAGAUAAAUGAAUGCCUAAAUGAAUGAGUGAAUGAUUUAGCAAUGAAUGAGUUGAACUGAAUGACAAACCCACAGUUAGACAUUGUGACUUUAGAGUCAGAAUUGAUGAAGUCUCAAGAUGCUUUGUGAACUAGUACAUCUUUUCAAGUUCAGGAUGGUGCUUGUCUAAGUAGCUCUUUCUGUUUAUCUGACCACAUGCAUUAUCUUUGAAGACCUAAGCUGACAUCAUCCACACCUGCAAGAGGCCCAGAUACCUGUGUGUGUGUGUGUGUGUGUGUGUGUGUGUGUGUGUGUGUGUUCAUGGAGGACUUCUUUAUAGCCAGCCAAAUUGCAAGCUUCCCAGGGGCAGGAAGGAUAUUGAGGACAGAAGUUCUACCCUGGUAAGAUCUGAUACACUAGCUAGUUGGUGAGUGGGUGGUCCAAUUACUAAAGGAUGCUGUUGAGUAAGUGAGCCAGAAAGUGAGUGAAAGAGAAGGGUGAGUAAGUAAGCUAACAAACUAGCUUACUGCCUAGGUAGUACAACUGACUAGGGGUAUGGUUGAGUAGUUGACCAGUUGAUUUCUUGAUCAUUUGGCUGACUGUCUGAUGAUGGCUAAUUUGAAAGGCAAAUCCUGGUACAGUAUAGCAAAGAAAGUCCCCUUGGGGACAUGAGGCUAAUGGUAUAGAACAACAACAAAAAAAUGCUCUGGAUAGGAGUCCCUAAGAAAUGUAUCCUAUAAAUU
rnacentral:lncRNA from 12 species